GCGUGCUUAACACAUGCAAGUCGAACGGUGAAGCAGAGCUUGCUCUGUGGAUCAGUGGCGAACGGGUGAGUAACACGUGAGCAACCUGCCCCUGACUCUGGGAUAAGCGCUGGAAACGGCGUCUAAUACUGGAUAUGAGCUGCGACCGCAUGGUCAGCAGCUGGAAAGAUUUUUCGGUCUGGGAUGGGCUCACGGCCUAUCAGCUUGUUGGUGAGGUAAUGGCUCACCAAGGCGUCGACGGGUAGCCGGCCUGAGAGGGUGACCGGCCACACUGGGACUGAGACACGGCCCAGACUCCUACGGGAGGCAGCAGUGGGGAAUAUUGCACAAUGGGCGAAAGCCUGAUGCAGCAACGCCGCGUGAGGGAUGACGGCCUUCGGGUUGUAAACCUCUUUUAGCAGGGAAGAAGCGAAAGUGACGGUACCUGCAGAAAAAGCGCCGGCUAACUACGUGCCAGCAGCCGCGGUAAUACGUAGGGCGCAAGCGUUAUCCGGAAUUAUUGGGCGUAAAGAGCUCGUAGGCGGUUUGUCGCGUCUGCUGUGAAAUCCCGAGGCUCAACCUCGGGUCUGCAGUGGGUACGGGCAGACUAGAGUGCGGUAGGGGAGAUUGGAAUUCCUGGUGUAGCGGUGGAAUGCGCAGAUAUCAGGAGGAACACCGAUGGC
rnacentral:rRNA from 1 species